CACUAUAGGGUCGCCGCUACGUUACGUUAGGCAAGUGCGCAGCUGGCGCGUUGAUAACAUGAGGCGAUCUAAUAAACCCUCCGGUGCACAGGGACGAAAACGGAGAAAGGAUGAAGAGAAAAAGAAAGCCCAGUAUAGAGAUGCACUCAGGCAAUAUUUGCAGAGGCCGGCACCUGCUGGAGACAGGACACCUGAUCCUUCAUCUGAACUUUGUUACCUACUAAACAACCAGAAAGGUUUUCACUUGGUCAAAUGGGGAACAAACAAAGAAACUGUAUUGAGGCCAAAAUGAAAACUGGAGAGGAUAAAAACUGGUUCUUAAAGGCAUCUUAAAGGCAUCCAUGGGUUAUCCACAGAAGGGGACUCACAACUAAAAAAUUACAUUUAAAAGAUAUCCACCUAGAAAGGAUACUAAAUGUGUGCCAGAAAAGGUGAACCAAAACAAAUAACCACAACAGUUUAGUAGAGGGAGUAAACACCUUCCCCUCUGGACAUAUUUGCUCACAAGCAACCUAAAACAACCAUUUUCUUACAUUAACUAUAUGUGUCGUUAUGCAAAUGUGUCUCUUUCUCCAGUAAACAUGCUUGACUACUGUAUGUACAAACCAAAGUGGAUUUUCUUCUACUAAAAUG
ensembl:lncRNA